GCCCGGGUGGCGGAAUUGGCAGACGCAUCAGACUUAAAAUCUGAAGUUCCGUAAGGCGCGUGGGGGUUCGAGUCCCUCCCCGGGUA
rnacentral:tRNA from 1 species